UACGGUGAAUACGUUCCCGGACCUUGUACACACCGCCCGUCAAGCCAUGGAAGCUGGGUGUACCUAAAGUCGAUAACCGUAAGGAGUCGCCUAGGGUAAAACUAGUAACUGGGGCUAAGUCGUAACAAGGUACCC
rnacentral:rRNA from 1 species